rnacentral:rRNA from 1 species
AUUGAACGCUGGCGGCAUGCCUUACACAUGCAAGUCGAACGGUAACAGGCCGCAAGGUGCUGACGAGUGGCGAACGGGUGAGUAAUGCAUCGGAACGUGCCCAGUCGUGGGGGAUAACUGCUCGAAAGAGCAGCUAAUACCGCAUACGACCUGAGGGUGAAAGCGGGGGACCGUAAGGCCUCGCGCGAUUGGAGCGGCCGAUGUCAGAUUAGCUAGUUGGUGGGGUAAAGGCCUACCAAGGCAACGAUCUGUAGUUGGUCUGAGAGGACAACCAGCCACACUGGGACUGCGACACGGCCCAGACGCCUACGGGAGGCAGCAGUGGGGAAUUUUGGACAAUGGGCGCAAGCCUGAUCCAGCCAUUCCGCGUGCAGGAUGAAGGCCCUCGGGUUGUAAACUGCUUUUGUACGGAACGAAACGGCUCUCUCUAAUACAGGGGGCUAAUGACGGUACCGUAAGAAUAAGCACCGGCUAACUACGUGCCAGCAGCCGCCGUAAAAC